UACGUAGGGAGCAAGCGUUGUCCGGAAUCAUUGGGCGUAAAGCGCGCGUAGGCGGCCUCGUAAGUCCGCUGUAAAAGUCACAGGCUCAACCUGUGAACGCCGGUGGAUACUGCGAGGCUAGAGUCCGGAAGAGGUAGCUGGAAUUCCAGGUGUAGCGGUGAAAUGCGUAGAUAUCUGGAGGAACACCGGUGGCGAAGGCGGCAUCCUGGACCGACACUGACGCUGAGGAGCGAAAGCCAGGGGAGCAAACGGG
rnacentral:rRNA from 1 species